CAGGUCCGUUGGUCAAGGGGUUAAGACACCGCCCUGUCACGGCGAAGAUCGCGGGUUCGAUUCCCGUCGGGACCGU
rnacentral:tRNA from 1 species